CCCGACCUCCAACCCUUUGUGAACCAACUCUGUUGCUUCGGGGGCGACCCCGCCGUUUCGGCGACGGCGCCCCCGGAGGUAUUCAAACACUGCAUCUUUGCGUCGGAGUCUUAAAGUAAAUUUAAACAAAACUUUCAACAACGGAUCUCUUGGUUCUGGCAUCGAUGAAGAACGCAGCGAAAUGCGAUAAGUAAUGUGAAUUGCAGAAUUCAGUGAAUCAUCGAAUCUUUGAACGCACAUUGCGCCCUGUGGUAUUCCGCAGGGCAUGCCUGUUCGAGCGUCAUUUCACCACUCAAGCCUAGCUUGGUAUUGGGCGUCGCGAUUUCCGCGCGCCUUAAAGUCUCCGGCUGAGCAGUUCGUCUCUAAGCGUUGUGAUUUUCAAAUCGCUGAAGAGUUCGGGCGGCGACGGCCGUUAAAUCCGGCGAGUGAAGCGGCAACAGCUCAAAUUUGAAAUCUGGCGCANGCCCGAGUUGUAAUUUGUAGAGGAUGCUUCUGGCCAGCGGCCGUUCUAAGUUCCUUGGAACAGGACGUCAUAGAGGGUGAGAAUCCCGUAUGUGACCGGCGCGCAGCCUUUACGUAGCUCCUUCGACGAGUCGAGUUGUUUGGGAAUGCAGCUCUAAAUGGGAGGUAAAUUUCUUCUAAAGCUAAAUACCGGCCAGAGACCGAUAGCGCACAAGUAGAGUGAUCGAAAGAUGAAAAGCACUUUGGAAAGAGAGUUAAAAAGCACGUGAAAUUGUUGAAAGGGAAGCGCUUGCAACCAGACUUCGUAGCGAUGUUCCGCCGGUCUUCUGACCGGUCUACUCAUCGUCGCGAGGCCAACAUCGUCUGGGGCCGCCGGAUAAGACCUAAGGAAUGUAGCUUCCCUCGGGAAGUGUUAUAGCCUUUGGUGAUGCGGCGCGUCUCGGGCGAGGUCCGCGCUUCGGCAAGGAUGUUGGCGUAAUGGUUGUCAGCGGCCCGUCUUGAAACACGGACCAAGGAGUCUAACAUCUAUGCGAGUGUUCGGGUGUCAAACCCCUACGCGUAAUGAAAGUGAACGGAGGUGGGAAGCGCAAGCUGCACCAUCGACCGAUCCUGAUGUCCUCGGAUGGAUUUGAGUAAGAGCAUA
rnacentral:sRNA from 1 species